AUUGAACGCUGGCGGCAGGCCUAACACAUGCAAGUCGAGCGGAUGAAGGGAGCUUGCUCCUGGAUUCAUCGGCGGACGGGUGAGUAAUGCCUAGGAAUCUGCCUGGUAGUGGGGGAUAACGUCCGGAAACGGGCGCUAAUACCGCAUACGUCCUGAGGGAGAAAGUGGGGGAUCUUCGGACCUCACGCUAUCAGAUGAGCCUAUGUCGGAUUAGCUAGUUGGUGGGGUAAAGGCCGACCAAGGCGACGAUCCGUAACUGGUCUGAGAGGGUGAUCAGUCACACUGGAACUGAGACACGGUCCAGACUCCUACGGGAGGCAGCAGUGGGGAAUAUUGGACAAUGGGCGAAAGCCUGAUCCAGCCAUGCCGCGUGUGUGAAGAAGGUCUUCGGAUUGUAAAGCACUUUAAGUUGGGAGGAAGGGCAGUAAGUUAAUACCUUGCUGUUUUGACGUUACCAACAGAAUAAGCGCCGGCUAACUUCGUG
rnacentral:rRNA from 1 species